AAAACAAGCAGAAAAAAUGAAUAGAAGAAGUCCAACAAUUGUUUGGGGGCAGAAUUAAAAGAGCCACGUGAAUUAGCUGAUUAUUUAAUUUUAUAACUGUUCUCUCCAAUGGUCUUCAACCCUUCAAGAGAAAUACAAAGAAGGAAAGCAAAACUUGUCCAUAAGUUUCUCACCUAGGAAAUACAAGGUUGAUGUUUCUGAAGAAAAUAAAGUAGUACAUUUACAUGGACAGAAAACUCAAGCAGUACAAAAAGAGAGAGAGAGAGAAAGAACGAGAGAGAAAGAGAGGGAGAGCGAGAGAGUGCACUUGUGCCUGAGCCAGGGUAGGAGCCAAGGGAGAGGAGAGAGAGAACUCCAAGCUGACUACCCAUGGAGCACAGAGCCCAAUGCAGGGUCCCAUCGCAGAACGCUGGGAUCAUGACCUGAGCCCAAAUCAAGAGUUGGACACUUAGCUGAGCCACCCAGGUGCCCCAAAUACCUUGGCAUUUCUUACUUUGAA